GCCACCCAGGACUUUUACUUGCCAGAUGUAGUUAAAUACAGUAAAGAGGAACAAUGGGUACAUAGUGAAGAUGUGCCUGCUCAUCCCCAGAAUCAGUAAAGAGGAACAAUGGGUACAUAGUGAAGAUGUGCCUGCUCAUCCCCAGAAUCAGUAAAGAGGAACAAUGGGUACAUAGUGAAGAUGUGCCUGCUCAUCCCCAGAAUCAGUAAAGAGGAACAAUGGGUACAUAGUGAAGAUGUGCCUGCUCAUCCCCAGAAUCAGUAAAGAGGAACAAUGGGUACAUAGUGAAGAUGUGCCUGCUCAUCCCCAGAAUCAGUAAAGAGGAACAAUGGGUACAUAGUGAAGAUGUGCCUGCUCAUCCCCAGAAUCAGUAAAGAGGAACAAUGGGUACAUAGUGAAGAUGUGCCUGCUCAUCCCCAGAAUCAGUAAAGAGGAACAAUGGGUACAUAGUGAAGAUGUGCCUGCUCAUCCCCAGAAUCAGUAAAGAGGAACAAUGGGUACAUAGUGAAGAUGUGCCUGCUCAUCCCCAGAAUCAGUAAAGAGGAACAAUGGGUACAUAGUGAAGAUGUGCCUGCUCAUCCCCAGAAUCAGUAAAGAGGAACAAUGGGUACAUAGUGAAGAUGUGCCUGCUCAUCCCCAGAAUCAGUAAAGAGGAACAAUGGGUACAUAGUGAAGAUGUGCCUGCUCAUCCCCAGAAUCAGUAAAGAGGAAC